rnacentral:rRNA from 1 species
UACGUAGGGUGCGAGCGUUGUCCGGAAUUAUUGGGCGUAAAGGGCUCGUAGGCGGUCUGUUGCGUCGGGGGUGAAAACUCGGGGUUUAACCCUGAGCCUGCUUCCGAUACGGGCAGACUAGAGGUAUGCAGGGGAGAACGGAAUUCCUGGUGUAGCGGUGAAAUGCGCAGAUAUCAGGAGGAACACCGGUGGCGAAGGCGGCAUUCUGGACCGAUAUUGACGCUGAGGAGCGAAAGCCAGGGGAGCAAACGGG